GGAGGCAGCAGUGGGGAAUUUUCCGCAAUGGGCGAAAGCCUGACGGAGCAAUACCGCGUGAGGGAGGAAGGCUUUUGGGUUGUAAACCUCUUUUGUUAAGGAAGAAGCAAGUGACGGUACUUAACGAAUCAGCAUCGGCUAACUCCGUGCCAGCAGCCGCGGUAAUACGGAGGAUGCAAGCGUUAUCCGGAAUUAUUGGGCGUAAAGCGUCCGCAGGUGGUCAAUCGUGUCUGCUGUUAAAGACAGAAGCUCAACUUCUGAGAGGCAGUGGAAACUGGUAGACUAGAGUAUGGUAGGGGUUGAGGGAAUUCCCAGUGUAGCGGUGAAAUGCGUAGAUAUUGGGAAGAACACCAGUGGCGAAGGCGCUCAACUGGGCCAUAACUGACACUGAGGGACGAAAGCUAGGGUAGCGAAAGGGAUUAGAUACCCCUGUAGUCCUAGCCGUAAACGAUGAACACUAGGCGUUGCUUGUAUCGACC
rnacentral:rRNA from 1 species